UCUACCCCGGUAUCUGCUGCAGUCAACCCUCAGAAGAAGAACCUUCUCUCACAGUCCUCUGGUGGUAAAGUGACCUCUGCUGCUAGCUGCUAGCCUGCUGUUAAACGAUGGCUCCUCCAGUUGCAGUGUCGCCUUUGAUUAAGACAGCAAGGUAUUCAGCUUUGAUUGCUGGCAUCAUCUAUGGCAAAAAGAGAUAUGAUAAUUUGAAGCCUAUUGCAGCUGAGGAGAGGCGGAUCGAGGGGGAGGAGAAAAAGGUUCGCGAGGAGCAGGAGCGCAUCGCAAAGGAGCUAGCAGAAGCAAGUGAAGAUACUAUUCUGAAGUGAAGCUGGUGUGCUGUGUGAGGAUGUCCAUGUGCAAUUCCCAACCUGUUCCUCCUUUUUUCCCGGAGUAAUGAUGGCAAAGUCGGGUACCAACCAGUCAAACACUACCGUGUUAUGGACGUAUUCACUGUUACCUUGUAUAAUACAACACCUCUCUGGAUUGCCAUAGACAAUUAUUUGUAGGUUAGUUGCAUGAUAUAAAAUAAAGCUCUUGCAUUGUAAUACGCACUCAUAAGUUAUAAUGUUCAUGUUGGUAAUGAAACAAUGUAAUAAAUACAUAAUUACAUGA